rnacentral:misc_RNA from 1 species
GGAAAUAAAAGUCGUAACAAGGUUUCCGUAGGUGAACCUGCGGAAGGAUCAUUAAAGUUAUAGUCCCCCGGCCCUCUGGGCUGGGGUCUUCAAUACCACCCUUUGUUUAUUGCACCUUUGUUGCUUUGGCAGGCCUGCCCUCGGGCUGCUGGCUCCGGCCGGCUCGCGUCUGCCAGAGGACCUAAACUCUGUUUGUAUAUGAAGUCUGAGUACUAUAUAAUAGUUAAAACUUUCAACAACGGAUCUCUUGGUUCUG